UUUGUUUAUACGUACCACAUGUUUCCUCGGGGGGCUUGCCCCCCGUUAGGACACCCCAUAAACCUUUUUGUAAUAGCAGUUAGCGUCUGAAAAAUAAGUUAAUUAUUAAAACUUUCAACAAUGGAUCUCUUGGUUCUGGCAUCGAUGAAGAACGCAGCGAAAUGCGAUAAGUAGUGUGAAUUGCAGAAUUCAGUGAAUCAUCGAAUCUUUGAACGCACAUUGCGCCCCUUGGUAUUCCAUGGGGCAUGCCUGUUCGAGCGUCAUUUGAACCCUCAAGCUUUGCUUGGUGUUGGGUGUUUGUCUCGCUUUUGCGCGUGGACUCGCCUUAAAGUUAUUGGCAGCCAUGUAAUUCGGCUUUGAGCGCAGCACAUUGCGAUCUCUCUGCUGGUACAUUGGCAUCCAGAAGCCUUUUUUUUAAUCUUGACCUCGGAUCAGGUAGGGAUACCCGCUGAACUUAAGCAUAUCAAUAAGCGGAGGA
rnacentral:rRNA from 1 species